rnacentral:rRNA from 1 species
GUACAGAGGUCCCAAGCGCUGUUCGGAUUCAUUGGGCGUAAAGGGUGCGUAGGUGGCGCCGUAAGUCGGGUGUGAAAUUUCGGAGCUUAACUCCGAAACUGCAUUCGAUACUGCGGUGCUUGAGGACUGGAGAGGAGACUGGAAUUCAUGGUGUAGCAGUGAAAUGCGUAGAGAUCAUGAGGAAGACCAGUGGCGAAGGCGGGUCUCUGGACAGUUCUGACACUGAGGCACGAAGGCCAGGGGAGCAAACGGG